rnacentral:rRNA from 1 species
UACGAAGGGUGCUAGCGUUGUUCGGAAUUACUGGGCGUAAAGCGCGCGUAGGCGGCUUGUCAAGUCAGGGGUGAAAUCCUGGGGCUUAACCCCAGAAUUGCCUUUGAAACUGUCAAGCUAGAGUGUCGGAGGGGAUAGCGGAAUUGCUAAUGUAGAGGUGAAAUUCGUAGAUAUUAGCAGGAACACCGGUGGCGAAGGCGGCUAUCUGGACGACAACUGACGCUGAGGCGCGAAAGCGUGGGGAUCAAACAGG